rnacentral:rRNA from 1 species
UACGUAGGGAGCGAGCGUUGUCCGGAUUUAUUGGGCGUAAAGGGCUUGUAGGCGGUUUGGCGGGUCAGCAGUGAAAUCCUCGGACUUAAUUCGGGGGGGUCUGUUGAUACUGUUAUGACUUGAGUUUGGUAGGGGAGUGUGGAAUUCCUGGUGUAGCGGUGAAAUGCGCAGAUAUCAGGAGGAAUGCCGGUGGCGAAGGCGGCACUCUGGGCCAUUACUGACGCUGAGGAGCGAAAGCUAGGGGAGCAAACAGG